rnacentral:rRNA from 1 species
UACGGAGGAUCCAAGCGUUAUCCGGAUUUAUUGGGUUUAAAGGGUGCGUAGGCGGCCUAUUAAGUCAGGGGUGAAAGACGGUGGCUCAACCAUCGCAGUGCCUUUGAUACUGAUAGGCUUGAAUACACUAGAGGUAGGCGGAAUGUGACAAGUAGCGGUGAAAUGCAUAGAUAUGUCACAGAACACCGAUUGCGAAGGCAGCUUACUAUGGUGUCAUUGACGCUGAGGCACGAAAGCGUGGGGGAUCAAACAGG